CACGUAGGGACCAAGCGUUGUUCGGAUUUACUGGGCGUAAAGGGCGCGUAGGCGGCGCGGUAAGUCGGGUGUGAAAUCUCGGGGCUUAACUCCGAAACUGCAUUCGAUACUGCCGUGCUUGAGGACUGGAGAGGAGACUGGAAUUUACGGUGUAGCGGUGAAAUGCGUAGAUAUCGUAAGGAAGACCAGUGGCGAAGGCGGGUCUCUGGACAGUUCCUGACGCUGAGGUGCGAAAGCGUGGGUAGCGAACGGG
rnacentral:rRNA from 1 species